AACUACACUAUCAAUGAAUGGAUUCACCCGCAAGAUGACGCGGUUGUUUCACCAGGACGAGAAUGUGGCAUCAUAUUACCAGCCAUCGCACGAAAUUAAUAGGAUGCCACGUCUUCAUCCUAAAUGGAACAACCACAUCAUCUCACGGGUGAAUCCAUUCAUUGAUAAUGUGGUU
rfam:Oryza meridionalis cultivar OR44 (W2112) chromosome 4, whole genome shotgun sequence.